rnacentral:rRNA from 1 species
AGAGUUUGAUCCUGGCUCAGGACGAACGCUGGCGGCGCGCCUAACACAUGCAAGUCGAACGAGCGAGAGAGAGCUUGCUUUCUCGAGCGAGUGGCGAACGGGUGAGUAACGCGUGAGGAACCUGCCUCAAAGAGGGGGACAACAGUUGGAAACGACUGCUAAUACCGCAUAAGCCCACGGCUCGGCAUCGAGCAGAGGGAAAAGGAGCAAUCCGCUUUGAGAUGGCCUCGCGUCCGAUUAGCUAGUUGGUGAGGUAAUGGCCCACCAAGGCGACGAUCGGUAGCCGGACUGAGAGGUUGAACGGCCACAUUGGGACUGAGAUACGGCCCAGACUCCUACGGGAGGCAGCAGUGGGGAAUAUUGGGCAAUGGGCGCAAGCCUGACCCAGCAACGCCGCGUGAAGGAAGAAGGCUUUCGGGUUGUAAACUGCUUUUGUCAGGGACGAAAAGCUCCGGAGUAAUAUGCCGGAGUGCUGACGGUACCUGAAGAAUAAGCACCGGCUAACUACGUGCCAGCAGCCGCGGUAAUACGUAGGGUGCAAGCGUUGUCCGGAAUGACUGGGUGUAAAGGGAGCGUAGGCGGGAUGGCAGGUCAGAUGUGAAACCUGAGGGCUCAACCUUCAGACUGCAUUUGAAACUGCUGUUCUUGAGUGAAGUAGAGGUAAGCGGAAUUCCUGGUGUAGCGGUGAAAUGCGUAGAGAUCAGGAGGAACAUCGGUGGCGAAGGCGGCUUACUGGGCUUUUACUGACGCUGAGGCUCGAAAGCGUGGGGAGCAAACAGGAUUAGAUACCCUGGUAGUCCACGCUGUAAACGAUGAUUACUAGGUGUGGGGGGAUUGACCCCUUCCGUGCCGCAGUUAACACAAUAAGUAAUCCACCUGGGGAGUACGACCGCAAGGUUGAAACUCAAAGGAAUUGACGGGGGCCCGCACAAGCAGUGGAGUAUGUGGUUUAAUUCGAAGCAACGCGAAGAACCUUACCAGGUCUUGACAUCGAGUGACGUAUCCAGAGAUGGAUAUUUCCUUCGGGACACAAAGACAGGUGGUGCAUGGUUGUCGUCAGCUCGUGUCGUGAGAUGUUGGGUUAAGUCCCGCAACGAGCGCAACCCUUAUCAUUAGUUGUUACGCAAGAGCACUCUAAUGAGACUGCCGUUGACAAAACGGAGGAAGGUGGGGAUGACGUCAAAUCAUCAUGCCCCUUAUGACCUGGGCUACACACGUACUACAAUGGCGAUCGAACAGAGGGAAGCAAGACAGCGAUGUGGAGCCAAUCCCAAAAAAUCGCCCCAGUUCAGAUUGCAGGCUGCAACUCGCCUGCAUGAAGUCGGAAUUGCUAGUAAUCGCAGAUCAGCAUGCUGCGGUGAAUACGUUCCCGGGCCUUGCACACACCGCCCGUCA